rnacentral:misc_RNA from 1 species
GGAAGGAUCAUUACAUGAUUUCGGUUUACACCGUUCUCACCCUUUGUUUAUACGUACCACAUGUUUCCUCGGGGGGCUUGCCCCCCGCCAGGACACCCCAUAAACCUUUUUGUAAUAGCAGUUAGCGUCUGAAAAUUACAUUAAUUAUUAAAACUUUCAACAAUGGAUCUCUUGGUUCUGGCAUCGAUGAAGAACGCAGCGAAAUGCGAUAAGUAGUGUGAAUUGCAGAAUUCAGUGAAUCAUCGAAUCUUUGAACGCACAUUGCGCCCCUUGGUAUUCCAUGGGGCAUGCCUGUUCGAGCGUCAUUUGAACCCUCAAGCUUUGCUUGGUGUUGGGCGUUUGUCCCGCUUCGUGCGUGGACUCGCCUUAAAGUAAUUGGCGGCCAUGUAAUUCGGCUUUGAGCGCAGCACAUUGCGAUCUCUACGCUGGUACAUUGGCAUCCAAAAGCCUUUUUUUACGCUUGACCUCGGAUCAGGUAGGGAUACCCGCUGAACUUAAGCAUAUCAAUAAGCGGAGGAAAAGAAACCAACAGGGAUUGCCCUAGUAACGGCGAGUGAAGCGGCAACAGCUCAAAUUUGAAAUCUGAUCUCUUCGAGGUCCGAGUUGUAAUUUGUAGAGGGCGCUUUGGUGUUGGCUGCGGUCUAAGUUCCUUGGAACAGGACGUCAUAGAGGGUGAGAAUCCCGUCUGUGGUCGCAUGUCUUCACCGUGUAAAGCCCCUUCGACGAGUCGAGUUGUUUGGGAAUGCAGCUCUAAAUGGGAGGUAAAUUUCUUCUAAAGCUAAAUACUGGCCAGAGACCGAUAGCGCACAAGUAGAGUGAUCGAAAGAUGAAAAGCACUUUGGAAAGAGAGUCAAACAGCACGUGAAAUUGUUGAAAGGGAAGCGCUUGCAGCCAGACUUGCUUGCAGUUGCUCAUCCGGGCGCUCGCCCGGUGCACUCUUCUGUAGGCAGGCCAGCAUCAGUUUGGGCGGUUGGAUAAAGGCCUCUGUCAUGUAUCUUCUCCGGAAGACCUUAUAGGGGAGGCGUAAUGCAACCAGCCUGGACUGAGGUCCGCGCAUCUGCUAGGAUGCUGGCGUAAUGGCUGUAAGCGGCCCGUCUUGAAACACGGACCAAGGAGUCUAACAUCUAUGCGAGUGUUUGGGUGUCAAGCCCGAGCGCGCAAUGAAAGUGAACGGAGGUGGGAACCCUCGGGUGCACCAUCGACCGAUCCUGAAGUCUUCGGAUGGAUUUGAGUAAGAGCAUAGCUGUUGGGACCCGAAAGAUGGUGAACUAUGCUUGAAUAGGGUGAAGCCAGAGGAAACUCUGGUGGAGGCUCGCAGCGGUUCUGACGUGCAAAUCGAUCGUCAAAUUUGGGCAUAGGGGCGAAAGACUAAUCGAACUAUCUAGUAGCUGGUUCCUGC